rnacentral:rRNA from 1 species
AGGACGAACGCUGGCGGCGUGCUUAACACAUGCAAGUCGAACGGAAAGGCUCCAGCUUGCUGGAGUACUCGAGUGGCGAACGGGUGAGUAACACGUGGGUAAUCUGCCCUGCACUCUGGGAUAAGCCUGGGAAACUGGGUCUAAUACUGGAUAUGACCUUUCUCCUUAUGGGGUUUGGUGGAAAGUUUUUCGGUGUAGGAUGAGCCCGCGGCCUAUCAGCUUGUUGGUGGGGUGAUGGCCUACCAAGGCGACGACGGGUAGCCGGCCUGAGAGGGUGAUCGGCCACAUUGGGACUGAGAUACGGCCCAGACUCCUACGGGAGGCAGCAGUGGGGAAUAUUGCACAAUGGGCGGAAGCCUGAUGCAGCGACGCCGCGUGAGGGAUGACGGCCUUCGGUUGUAAACCUCUUUCAGCAGGGACGAAGCGUAAGUGACGGUACCUGCAGAAGAAGCACCGGCUAACUAUGCGCCAGCAGCCGCGGU